GGGAGGGUCUCUCCACCCAGGGCAUGGUGUGGCUGGAGACUGGGAGUGCCAUGGAGGGGAGCAGAGUGUGCAGUUAGUGGACUUGUAUAACAGUGAUGACACACAUGCUUAGCAUGCAUGAGGCUCUGUGUUUGAUCCCUGCAGACAGGGAGGGAGGGAGGAAGGGAGGGAAACAUUUUCUAGCUAUACCUCCAAUUUGUGCCAUGUUUAGGGCGUCUUUACUGGAUAAAGAAAACCAGCAGUUGCAGGAGAACUGCCUCCGGCUCAUGCAGCAAAUUGGCCUCUUGGAACAAAUUAUAAGGAGCAUCCAGAUUCGCAGAGAAGAGGUGAGAUGUGAGCUUUGUAUUGGGUCCUGACUCUAAGGUUUGGCUCCAUGGUUCCCCCUGCCACAGUCUGCUCUUGGCUACAUGGUGAGCUGUGGCAGAGCGGCUCACUCCUCAAGGGCACUUGGGACAGUAGACCUGUGACUGAUCUUGGUGAGUCCUGCUUGUCACUUGGUUAACUUUCAUAACACUUUUAUCCAGCAUAAUCCCAAAGCCAUCCACAUAUGCCUCUAAGCAUCUUUCUAAAUGUGCUACAUUGCGGUUGCCCUUUUUCUUCUCUAAAUCAGUCACUUAGCAGUGCAGUCUCAGAGGGCAAGAACUGUAGCUCAUCGGUGACCACAUCGGGGAACUGGCAUAGCUCAUACAUGACUGUAUCUGUGGACAGGUAUAGUUCAUAUUUGACCAUAUCUUCAAACACUCAUGCUUUUUUUUUAACUAGGGGUUUUUAUUAUUAUUAAUUAAUUAUAUAUAAGUGUACUGUAGCUGUCUUCAGACACUCCAGAAGAGGGAGUCAGAUCUCCUUACAGAUGGUUGGGAGCCACCAUGUGGUUGCUGGGAUUUGAACUCAGGCCCUUCAGAAGAUCAGUCGGGUGCUCUUACACGCCAAGCCAUCUCACCAGCCCGCACUCAUGCUUUGAAAAUGAAUGGAUGCUAAAUGUUUUCUCAGAUGUGCUUCCUUCCGAACAACCCUGUUUGUAGCAUAUUGUUCUGGCCCUGUUUGGAGAGAAAGAAUAGCAGAUCUGAGGCUCGGAAAGGUUGAGUGAAGCCAGUUUAGUCUACUAAAGAGUCAAGACUGAGGAGAGCAACUGAGUCAGAGAAAAACAACUAUUUCCAAAUUCCAACAGAUAAAUAGCCACAGAGAACUGUGGGGGAUAGUGUGGGCUCAGUCAAGGUCCAGAGUCUGACUGGUGAAGAAUGAGACUUCAGUAAGCAGAAUCAGAUGAUAGAUCCGGGAUAGAGGCUACUUCCUCCUUGCCCUGGUGUGAUUGCCUGCAAGGCGUCCUUUUGGAAGAUGCUUCUCCACAGAUCUGGUUAUUGGCUCUUCAGCUAUAAUACCUUCUUCUUGUUUAUUCUCACAAAGGUAAUUACUUCUAAGCUAUAUGAGGUGUUUCCCAGUUGUCAUCAGAUGCAGAACUGCCCGCUUGUGUGACCUGAUUGCCAAAAAAAGUUUCUCUGUUUGCUUGAGUGAGUUCUUUCUCCCUCAAUCCACUCACUCCUCAACCGUUAACUCAAGGAACUCGGCUGGGUCCUGAAACACCAAGAGAGUCUGUGUCUUCAUAUGUCUUCAUUCCAGUACGGAAAGGCAGACACACCUGGGAAUGAAGAUGACAGGAUUACAAGUCAUAAGACUAUAUGGAGACCGUGCAUAGGGCCUCAUACCUGUAAUCCCAGAACAAAGGAGGCUAAGGCACGAAGGUUAGGAGUUCAAGACUAAUGUCUGCUACUUAAGGAUUUCAAGGCCAGCCUGGAGUACAUAAGACUCUGUCUCAACCAAACAACAACAAUUCAACAACAUCCACAAUAACAACUAAGAAGGCUAGACUGGUAGGGUAGCCUUUGCCUAAAGAAUGACUUGAGUUCAGUUCCUGGAACCCACACUGGGGAGGAAAAGAACCAAGUCCUCUGACUUGAAGAAGAAG
rnacentral:lncRNA from 1 species